UUAGGUUAAGUUAUGAAGGGCGCAUGGUGAAUGCCUUGGUACUAGGAGCCGAUGAAGGACGGGACUAACACCGAUAUGCUUCGGGGAGCGGUAAGUACGCUUUGAUCCGGAGAUUUCCGAAUGGGGAAACCUAAUCAGCUUAGUCGCUGAUUACUUGACUAGUGAAUACAUAGCUAGCAAGAGGUAGACGCAGUGAACUGAAACAUCUUAGUAGCUGCAGGAAGAGAAAGAAACAUCGAUUCCCUGAGUAGCGGCGAGCGAAAAGGGAAGAGCCCAAACCAACAAGCUUGCUUGUUGGGGUUGUAGGACUGAACAUUAGAGUUACCAAAGUGCGACGUAGUCGCAACAGUUGGGAAGCUGUGCCAUAGAGGGUGAGAGCCCCGUAGACGAAACGUCACACUCUCUGUUCAGGAUCCUGAGUACGGCGGGACACGUGAAACCCCGUCGGAACCCGCGAGGACCAUCUCGCAAGGCUAAAUACUCCCUAGUGACCGAUAGUGAACCAGUACCGUGAGGGAAAGGUGAAAAGCACCCCGGAAGGGGAGUGAAAUAGUUCCUGAAACCAUGUGCCUACAAGCUGUCGGAGCCCGUUAAUGGGUGACGGCGUGCCUCUUGCAGAAUGAACCGGCGAGUUACGAUUACAUGCAAGGUUAAGGUGGAAAAACCGGAGCCGUAGCGAAAGCGAGUCUUAAAUGGGCGUAAAAAGUAUGUAGUUGUAGACCCGAAACCAGGUGACCUACCCAUGUCCAGGUUGAAGGUGCGGUAAAGCGCACUGGAGGACCGAACCCGUGUCAGUUGAAAAUGGCUGGGAUGAGGUGUGGGUAGCGGUGAAAUUCCAAACGAACUUGGAGAUAGCUGGUUCUCUCCGAAAUCUCUUUAGGGGGAGCCUUGAGGUAAAGAAUCGUGGAGGUAGAGCUACUGUUUGGACAAGGGGCCCGUCAUGGGUUACCA
rnacentral:rRNA from 2 species